rnacentral:rRNA from 1 species
GAUGAACGCUAGCGGCAGGCUUAAUACAUGCAAGUCGAGGGACAGCACAGGUAGCAAUACUGGGUGGUAACCGGCAAACGGGUGCGGAACACGUACACAACCUUCCUUUAAGUGGGGAAUAGACCAGAGAAAUUUGGAUUAAUACCCCGUAAUAUAGUUGAAUGGCAUCAUUUGAUUAUUAUAGCUACGGCGCUUAAUGAUGGGUGCGCGACUGAUUAGAUAGUUGGCGGGGAAACGGCCCACCAAGUCUACGAUCAGUAGCUGAUGUGAGAGCAUGAUCAGCCACACGGGCACUGAGACACGGGCCCGACUCCUACGGGAGGCAGCAGUAAGGAAUAUUGGUCAAUGGACGCAAGUCUGAACCAGCCAUGCCGCGUGAAGGAUUAAGGCCCUCUGGAUUGUAAACUUCUUUUAUUUGGGACGAAAAAGGGCCUUUCUAGGUCAACUGACGGUACCAGAUGAAUAAGCACCGGCUAACUCCGUGCCAGCCGCCGCAGUAACAC